GACCGACAAAGGCAAACCUGUUGAAAAACAGGGACGCAAAGCAAAAGGGUCUAAAGCGGAAAAACCGCCAAGACAGCCUGGCUACCGAA
rnacentral:ncRNA from 1 species